CCCUCGGCGGCGGGAGGCGGGGCGCUAAGAUGGCGGCGGGGCUGAGGGGCCGCGCCAAGAUGGCGGCGGCCGGGGCCGCCUGAGGAGCAGCCGGCGCUCCCCGCGCUCCCCCUGCGGCCCCGCCGCCCCUUUUGGGGGGGUCCCCCCGGCUUCGGGGGGCUCGGGGAGAGCGCGGAGAUGGCGGAGGAGAAGAAGCUGAAGCUGAGCCACACGCUGCUGCCCGCCGAGUCCAUGAAGGUGAUGGCGGAGGCCAUGGGGGUGGCGGGGGUCCCUGAGGAGACGUGCCAGCUGCUGGCGGAGGAGGCGAGCUACCGCCUCAAGGAGGUGGCGCAGGACGCUCUCAAGUUCAUGCACAUGGGGAAGAGACGGAAACUCACGACCGGGGACGUGGAUUUCGCCCUAAAACUGAAAAAUGUGGAGCCCCUGUACGGGUUCCACGCCCAGGAGUUCAUCCCGUUCCGCUUUGCCAGCGGCGGCGGGCGGGAAUUGUAUUUUUAUGAGGAAAAAGAAGUGGAUUUGAGCGACAUCAUCAACACCCCCCUGCCCAGGGUGCCCCUGGACGUCUGCCUCAAGGCCCACUGGCUCAGCAUCGAGGGGGUGCAGCCGGCCAUCCCCGAAAAUCCCCCGCCAGCCCCCAAGGAGCAGCAGAAAGCCGAGGCCACCGAACCCCUGAAAUCGGCCAAGCCCGGCCAGGAGGACGAGGGGACCCCGAAAUCCAAAGGGCCGGGAGGGGCCGGGGGCGACGGAAAAGGGAAGGAGAAGAAGCCCCCGAUGCUGGAGGGGCCCCCCCUGCGGCUGAAGCCGCGCAGCGUCCACGAGCUGUCGGUGGAGCAGCAGCUCUACUACAAGGAGAUCACCGAGGCUUGUGUGGGCUCCUGUGAGGCCAAACGGGCUGAGGCCCUGCAGAGCAUCGCCACCGACCCCGGCCUGUACCAGAUGCUGCCGCGCUUCAGCACCUUCAUCUCCGAGGGGGUGCGGGUGAACGUGGUGCAGAACAAUCUGGCGCUGCUCAUUUACCUGAUGAGGAUGGUGAAGGCGCUGAUGGACAACCCCACGCUGUACCUGGAGAAAUACCUGCACGAGCUGAUCCCGGCCGUCAUGACGUGCAUCGUGAGCCGCCAGCUCUGCCUGCGCCCCGACGUCGACAACCACUGGGCCCUGCGGGACUUCGCUGCACGGCUGGUGGCACAGGUGUGCAAGAACUUCAGCACCACCACCAACAACAUCCAGUCCCGCAUCACCAAAACCUUCACCAAGAGCUGGGUGGAUGACAAGACCCCCUGGACCACGCGCUACGGCUCCAUCGCGGGACUGGCUGAGCUGGGCCACGACGUGAUCAAGACGCUGAUCCUGCCGCGGCUGCCGGCCGAGGGCGAGCGCGUGCGGAACAUUCUGGAAGGGCCGGUGGUGAGCACCAUCGACCGCAUCGGAGCCGACCACGUGCAGAGCCUGCUGCUGAAGCACUGUGCCCCCGUGCUGGCCAAGGCGCGUCCCCCCCCCGACAGCCCCGAGUGUUACCGGGGGGAUUUCGGGUACCUGGGGGGGCUCCUCUGCUCCCACGUGGUGAAAGCGCGGGCACAGGCGGCCCUGCAGGCCCAGCAGGUCAACAGGACCACCCUGACCAUCACACAGCCGCGCCCCACGCUGACGCUGUCUCAGGCCCCGCAGGCCCCGGGGGGGCCCCCGCGCCCCCCCAGCAUCAUCAAGGUCCCCAGUGCCAUCGCCCUGCCCGUCCCUGUCCCCGUCCCUGUCCCCACGCUGGCCUCGGGGCGCCCCGGGACCCCCACCCAGCCCUCGCCACCCCCACCCAAAUUCAUCGUCAUGUCCUCGGCCAGCAGCGCCAGCCAGCAGGUGAUCACCCUGAGCACGUCCCCCGCGCCCACGGCCACCUCCCCUGUCACCACCACUGUCCCCAGCGUGCAGCCACUGGUCAAACUGGUGUCGGGUCCCGCCGUCCCCGGUGCCACCGGCGGUGCCAGCGGCGGUGCCAGCGGCGGUGCCACCAGCGCCGUGCAGAAGUACAUCGUGGUGUCCCUGCCCGCCGCAGGGGACAGCAAAGGUGCCACCGCCCCCAGCGCCCCCAGCGCCCCCCACAUGUCCCCAAGUGCCACCGGCGGCUCCCCGGUGGCCGCCGCGCCCAAGGCGGAGGCUGGGGACAGUCCCCAAGGGCCAGCGGCCACCGCGGCCACCCUGGGCAAAGCCAACGGGACCCCCGGGGCUGGGACACAGGAGCCAGCGGGCGGGCAGUGACACGGACAGGGACACGGACAGGGGUGGCACCGGGGUCCCCAAGGUGGCCUCAGGGUCCCCAGGGUGGCCUCAGGGUCCCCAAGGUGGCCUCAGAGUCCCCAGGGUGGCAGUGACAGGGACACGGACAGGGGUGGCACAGGGGUGGCACCAGGGUCCCCAAGGUGGCCUCAGGGUCCCCAGGGUGGCACCGGGGUCCCCAAGGUGGCCUCAAGGUCCCCAGGGUGGCAGUGACAGUGACAGGGACACGGACAGGGGUGGCACCGGGGUGGCACCGGGGUCCCCAAGGUGGCCUCAAGGUCCCCAGGGUGGCAGUGACAGUGACAGGGACACGGACAGGGGUGGCACCGGGGUGGCACCGGGGUCCCCAAGGUGGCCUCAGGGUCCCCAGGGUGGCACCAGGGUCCCCAGGAUGGCACCAGGGUGGUCCCGG